GGGGAUUUAGCUCAGUGGUAGAGUGCUUGCCUAGGAAGCACAAGACCCUGGGUUCAGUCCCCAGCUCCG
rfam:Rattus norvegicus chromosome X, whole genome shotgun sequence.